ensembl:snRNA U4 U4 spliceosomal RNA
AGCCUUGUUUUGUGGCAGUAUUGUGGCCAGUGAGGCUUAUUCAAGGCACAAUUACUGCUGAUUGAAAAACAGGAAAAGAGGAAUCAUAAAAGUUAGGCAGCAAUGGC